GGGGAUUUAGCUCAGUGGUAGAGCGCUUGCCUAGGAAGCGCAAGGCCCUGGGUUCAGUUCCCA
rfam:Rattus norvegicus chromosome 4, whole genome shotgun sequence.